GGCCUAACACAUGCAAGUCGAACGAAGGCCCGGAGCUUGCUCCGGUAACCUUAGUGGCGGACGGGUGAGUAACACGUGGGAAUUUGCCCAGGAGUGGGGAAUAACGUUUGGAAACGAACGCUAAUACCGCAUACACCCUUAGGGGGAAAGGCUUCGGCCGCUCUUGGAUAAGCCCGCGUCAGAUUAGCUUGUUGGUGAGGUAAUGGCUCACCAAGGCUACGAUCUGUAGCUGGUCUGAGAGGAUGAUCAGCCACACUGGGACUGAGACACGGCCCAGACUCCUACGGGAGGCAGCAGUGGGGAAUAUUGGACAAUGGGGGAAACCCUGAUCCAGCCAUGCCGCGUGAGUGAAGAAGGCCUUAGGGUUGUAAAACUCUUUCAGUCGUGACGAUGAUGACGGUAACGACAGAAGAAGCCCCGGCUAACUCCGUGCCAGCAGCCGCGGUAAUACGGAGGGGGCUAGCGUUGUUCGGAAUUACUGGGCGUAAAGCGCACGUAGGCUGUUAAUCAAGUUAGAGGUGAAAGGCCUGGGCUCAACCUGGGAACUGCCUUUAAUACUGGUUAGCUAGAGUCCGGGAGAGGGUAGCGGAAUUCCAAGUGUAGAGGUGAAAUUCGUAGAUAUUUGGAAGAACAUCAGUGGCGAAGGCGGCUACCUGGACCGGUACUGACGCUGAGGUGCGAAAGCGUGGGGAGCGAACAGGAUUAGAUACCCUGGUAGUCCACGCCGUAAACGAUGAGUGCUAGAUGUCGGGGUCUAAGAUUUCGGUGUCGAAGCUAACGCGUUAAGCACUCCGCCUGGGGAGUAC
rnacentral:rRNA from 1 species